GAUAAUUAGUAAUGGUACGUCAAAUGCAAAAACAACACACAAAUUUAAGUAAAAAUUCUUUGCAGAAAAAAAGACUAUCGGUGAGAAAAGAGAGCUUCACUAUCGAACAAAAAAGAUAAUACAAAGUUCAAAAUACAAUCAAUCCGAACGAAAAAGAGAAUACAAAGUUCAAAGUACAAUCAAUCCGAACGAAAGAGAGAAUACAAAGUUCAAAGUACAAUCAAUCUGUCGCCUCUAGAGCAAAAUGAAAAAAAAAAAAAAAAUCUUUAACGUAUUUCGAAUCCGAUCCGAUCCAUACGACGGAGCCCCCCACACCCCUCGGCGAAUAUCAAUGAUGGGCUACGAGCUCGGAUCUAUCGGUCUGAAUCCUCCGCUACCAACCACAGACAUUCAUUUUUUCUUCACAAUUUAUUUUCCAAAUUAGUCACACCGCAAAAUUACUAUCGACGAGUUGAAGUCCAAAAAUUGAAGUCGAUUAUCAAUUUCGAGGGGUUAAUAUUCUAACACAUAUCAUGUCAAAAAUGUACAAACUUAAAUAAAUCACUAGCAUGUAAUAGUAAUUAUGUCAAAAUAGUGGGCCAGAAAUUUCAAUGAGUUUUCAUUGUUAAAACAAUGAUACUACACGAAUUAAAUAAACUUGCUUUCAAAUAUAAAAUAUGAUAAUUAAUAUUAUAGUUCGAGCUCGCUUAAUAUUAUUUACUUAAAUCAAAGCUAUGCUUCUGAGCGCACAUAAAAAUCUCAAAUCGUGGUAGGUUUAUAUUAUUUUAUUUUUUUUAGAAAGAGAAAGAUAGUAAGUUACGUUGUAUCACACCCAUAUAUUUAUUUAAAUAAAUAAGUAAAAAAAUACACCUGUAUUUAAGUAUUUUGUACAGUAUCUGCAGAGAACUCAAUUCCCGUGGAGACGUGCCAAAAGUACGGCAAAUGCACGCGUGUAUGUUUUUUUUAUUCCUAAAUUAAAAAUAUAAAAUUGCUAAAAUGGCAUUAACUUGAGCCCAUGUUGAUAUAAAGAUAUUUAGGUAAGUGGUGACCCGUCCCAUUCGGAUUGAGUUCCAUAUAUUUUAUACAACUGCUCCAUUGUACAUUUGCAUAAUUAAAUCAUCUCUAAUUCAUGUGUGACACCUUUUAUUAAUUUACUAAUGCACACUUUCUCUUCAUACAUGAUAUUUAUCUUUUUUUUUUUAAUGCAUUUCGUUUGUUAAUUAUUUUGUGGGGAUAUUUUUGACAGCUUGCUUGUUGGAAGCUUUCAAGAGGGUUUGGCUAAGACGCAACUGUAGAUGAUGAAAUAGUUUUCAAAAUGAAAGACGUGGUGACAUAUCUACGUGUACUAAAUUCAAAUUGAAUCUUAUCUCAAACAAUAUAAGAAAAAUAAAUAAAUAAAUAAAUAAAUGUUUGAUGUGUUCUCCCAAACAUAAGUGUGGCGUGAUGAUUUAUUAAUUAAGAAAGAGAUGGAGAUAAGUGGAAUGGUUUCCAAGGCACUGUUAUUAUUGGUUUGAACUGUUCAAAACUAAUGUGUUUGAUCCUAUUUUCGCCUGUAUUAUUUUAAACUUUACGCUGUGGUAAGAGAAAAGAUAAUAAUAAUAAUUUUGAUAUCUAAGUAAAGAAGUUUGAAUUGAACAUUUCUAAUUCUGGUGCAAUACGUCCGUCCAAAAUGUUAUUCAAAAUCAAAUACGAGAUAUAAGGUCCGAUUUUAGGGAUACGUACUACAGUGAAUCUAACUAAAAUUACGAUUUGAAGCCAAAUCGAGGCGAUCCAAAAUGUUAGGAUUAUGAUUUGAUUAAUUAAACCUAAUACGGAUUUAAGUUGGUGGGUUAAUGAGAACCUAUAUGUGGAAGUCCCUUCCCCACUAUAACCUACUAGUUAGUUGGAGUGUUAAGUAUUAGAUAAUCUUGUUAUUUGAUCCUUUGCAGAGGAGGAUGAGGAGAGAUUUUGAGGGGCCCACAAGAUGGGUGUGGAUAAAGACCAUCUUGGCCCCUGCUUUAGUUACAACCAAAUACAUCUAUGGGCGGGUCCCAUUCAUCUCACUUUCUCAGCACUCAAAAAGAUUUAUUUCAUGGACCACAUUCGAUAGACCAAACUCUCCAAUGACUACGAGCUAAAAUCUAAAUAUAAACCAUUAAGUUAUAAUCUAAUAUAAAUGUUUGAUUAAAAUCUUCUCAAAUAGUUUCUAAUGAUCAAGAGUUUGAGCUUGAUUCAGCGUGUUUGUAUUCAACUGCAUGCUUACAUUUGCUUAAGUAGAGUCCAAAGUUUCUAAGAACGAAUACUAAAAAAACUAAAUUGCCAGAUCACCAGUUAUCUGCCAGUCGAUUCGGUGUUCUGAUGCCGACCAUGAGGCUAGGAGUUCGAGUAUGUUCUUAUAUAAAUUUAAAUUAGAGCUUGUGUUUUUUGCUUUUUACUUGUAAAAUAAAAACAGAAAAAAAAAAUCCAAUUUCCUAAUAUAUCUAAUAGGGGGUAGGCUAUGAAGCGGACUGAGUGUAGACUCUAGUUUAUCAAUCAAAUUCUUGAUGGCUACCCACAUCUCCAAAUAAGGAGGGACAAUUUCCUUCUUUAAAAUAAUAAUAUUAAUAAUAAUAAUACCAACAAAAUCUCCAAAUUUGAUAGAUAACUACUCAUCAUAAAGAGAAUGAGAAUGAGAAUGGGGAGAGAAUGAGAGGGAUGGUUAGCCGCCUAGGGGGUUGUAUAGAAUGGUCAUACUUUAGCCUAAAAUCAUAUUGGUAAUAAUAUUACAUUGAUGUAAUAUAGACAAAAAGAAGAGAGUCCGGCUUAUCAAUAGUACAAGGCUCUUGAUACUAUCGAAUUUUCUAUCGUUGGAUCUAUUCUUUAAUCAUUUUCACCCGUUAGAUUAUACUAUUCAACCAACCACCUACUGAACCCUAGAGACUAAUAUCAUCCUAAUUACAUAUCUUUUCAUUCAACGACUGAAAACUCGAUAGCACCAAGCACUUGGCACUGUCGAUAGUAUAUCAGCAUAAUUCAAAAGAGAUUAAUAGUUAAUUAAGAUAUGCUUAUUUAUGGAAUAUUCGGUGAAUCGUUGUCUUCGAGUUUAUAUAUUGUGUGUGGUUAUCAAAAGCAUUGUUAGUUUACUUAUUAUUCUACACGCUAGCAACACUACAACAGAAUUAGGUUAUAGAGACAUAUGUUUGGGACACUUUUGAGUAAGUGUCCCAUUUAUCCUAAAACUUAAAAAAACAUCUACUAAUGCCUAAAUAUAAAGCCCAAUCCAACCAAAAAUAAAAGAUUACUCUACUCAACCCACCACACCCAGUCCAUUUGGCCCGAUUACAAACAGAAAAGAAAAAAAAAAAAAAAAAAUCAAUUACCAUCUUUUCUUCUCUCUUCACUCAAUCCACUGAAAUUCUAGACGAAGAGCCUUUCCUGUCGUCCUCCUCCGCCACCGCAGCCAACGAGAUAGAGUUUUGGCGGUUGCUAAAUGCUUAAAUAAGUGUUGGUAAAUUAGUAGCACUCUUUUAGGUUAUAGCGACACUCUUUAACUGUCACUAUAUACCUAGCGACCCCACAUAUAGCAAUACUUUUUAAAAGUGUCGGUAAUUUUAGCUAGCAGCACUUUUUUGACAUGUACCUAUAUUUAAAAGUGUCGCUAUAGACCGUUUUUGUUGUAGUGCAAUAUCUCAAAUUUUGUUUGAAAAUUUGGAAUGAUGAUUGAAUUCAGACGUAAAAUUUUAUAAAACUGAUCGAGUUAGUGAAU
rnacentral:lncRNA from 1 species